rnacentral:rRNA from 1 species
UACGUAGGGUGCGAGCGUUAAUCGGAAUUACUGGGCGUAAAGCGUGCGCAGGCGGUUUUGUAAGCCAGAUGUGAAAUCCCCGGGCUUAACCUGGGAAUGGCAUUUGGGACUGCAAGGCUCGAGUGCGGCAGAGGAGACUGGAAUUCCUGGUGUAGCAGUGAAAUGCGUAGAUAUCGAGAGGAACACCUGUGGCGAAGGCGGCCAACUGGACGAGUACUGACGCUGAGACACGAAAGCGUGGGGAGCAAACAGG